CAAAUACUCAGACAAAAAAAAAAAUGCAAAUUGUAAAAUACAUAUUUGUCAAGCUUUCAUUUUCUUUCCAGUGUUGGUAACAUCUGUGGAAAAAAUAUUAUACAUGCUGAUCCAGUUUUUUUCCAUUUUUGACAAAAUAUAUAAUCUAAGAAAUUAACCUUUAAUUGUCAUUCUAACUGUGUCAUGCUAACAUUUCUCUCCUUCUUCAUGGUUGUUCUGUUUCCAUAGAGCUGCAGGAGUUUAUAUAGUAGUGAAAAAUGAGACAGAUGCGGGGGAAAAAACACUCAAAAAAUGCUUGAAGUUGGUCUUGAAACACCAGAAGUUAUUAAAGCUGCAAACCGCUUGUCUUAAAGCCAAAGAUUUUCAGUUUAUUAUCCAAAACAACAAAGAAAAUUAGCAAAUAUUCAGAUCUGAGAGACUGGAAGCAGCAAAUGUUAUAGAUUUGAGCUUGAAAAAUUGAAAAUCUGCUGUUCUCAUGAAGUGAAAAUGAACCUACACUGAGUAAAAAUGCAACUGGACCAAAGGAACAGGCAGAAACUUCUUGAAAUUUAGAGAGUUUAGCAAAUAAAUCUGAUGCUACCUGAACAGUAGUGCACUUAUUUCUGUAAAAUGUAAAUUACUGGAUGCUAAUUUAAGAUAGAACAUCAGUUUUAUUUGAUAUUUAGCAGGAUAUGUUCAAUUUUCAGCUUCUAAUGUUUCCAUUAAUGCGUAACAAACUCAAAUUUUCAUCAGGUUUCAUGGCAGAAAUGUACAUGAAAUAGAAAGUUGUUUAGGAGUAGAAACUUCCAGAGUAAAGUCAGACCUCCUCUUAGUCUCUUUGUUUCUCUGGUUAAUCUACAUUUUCUACCUCCAGCUCAGAAACCUGCAUCUUCUGCCACUGAUGACUUCAGAGUCAUGUUUUUUUCGUGUUGGCAGUCAUGGUGGAAACACUUUGUCUCAUCUGGAGGGAUUUAGAGGCUACAGAAGCAGGAACAAACCACACAAAGAGCCUCUUGUUGGGUUUUUUUCUGGCUGGAAUUUGUCCAUCGGAGCUCUGUGAAAGUGAGACGGAGACAAGCCAGUACCUGUAGUUUCAGCUUACAAAGCUUCAUCUGUUCAGGGCGUCAGAUUCUGGUUUAAACGUUCAGAACGGAAAAGUCUUCAUGUGGCACAAUUUAAACAUCAGCUGUUGAGCUAAAGUGUUUCCUGCAGAGAAUAAAACUGAUGCUGCAAUUUACGAGAAGCAAUGGGUUUAGAUAUUGCGGUUAAAACUCAACAGUGUGUGGUUGUUUUUAACCAUUUAACCGCAUCUGUUGGUCAGUAAUCUGUAGUGUAGAAUGGUCUAACUGCACCUCAGUAAAAGUCUGAUAUAGAGAGGAAUAAACUUGGGUUUGUUUGUGUUUCUUUAAAGAGUUAAUGUCAUUUUGUCAUUUUGAGUAGAACACAGUUGGGGAGAGCAUUUGCAUAGAAAGUAAACUUCAAUUUUAAUUUGAAAAGCUAAAAAGAUUUACUGCAAAGGCAUUUUUUGAGUAUGAAUUGUUUGGAAUUUUCCUCAUAUGGUGUCAUGAAACACACUGCCGGUCCAAAAACAACCUCUUGGAUUUAACUAAAUAAAUAGGUAAGAUCCUUCCAUUGGAUAAUUACUGCAGUGAUGACAACAACUUCUUUAACCCUAGCUAAUGCAGGAAGGAGCUUCUCAUUUCUUCAACAACCAUGUUGGAAGACAUAUCCUGUGGUCAUGGAAAGGAUGUUAAUCUGUCUCAGAAGGGUCAAAUUAUUGGCCUGCAUGAAGCAAAGAAAACAACUAAGGAGAUGAAACUACUAAAAUCAGGUUAAGAACUGUCCAAUGUAUUAUUAAAGCCUGAAGGAUAGUGGUGAACCAUCAUCUUCCAGGAACAAACUCUAGUGUAGGUGUUGCUGGUACUGGUGUAGGAGUUGUUGGUAGUGGUGUAGGUGUUGCUGGUAGUGAUGUAGGUGUUGCUGGUAGUGGUGUAGGUGUUGCUGGUACUGGUGUAGGUGUUGCUGGUACUGGUGUAGGUGUUGCUGGUACUGGUGUAGGUGUUGCUGGUAGUGGUGUAGGUGUUGCUGGUAGUGGUGUAGGUGUUGCUGGUAGUGGUGUAGGUGUUGUUGGUAGUGGUGUAGGUGUUGCUGGUAGUGGUGUAGGUGUUGCUGGUACUAGUCUAGGUGUCGUUGAUACUAGUCUAGGUGUUGUUGAUAUGAGUGUAGGUGUUGGUACUAGUCUAGGCGUUGUUGAUACUAGUCUAGGUGUUAUUGAUAUGAGUGUAGGUGUUGUUGGUAGUAGUCUAGGUGUUGUUGAUAUGAGUGUAGGUGUUGUUGGUACUAGUCUAGGUGUUGUUGAUAUGAGUGUAGGUGUUGUUGGUACUGGUGUAGGAGUUGUUGGUAGUGGUGUACGUGUUGUUGGUAGUGGUGUAGGUGUUGUUGGUAGUGGUGUAGGUGUUGUUGGUACUAGUGUAGGUGUUGCUGGCACUGGUGUAUGUGUUGCUGGUACUGGUGUAGGUGUUGUUGGUAGUGGUGUAGGUGUUGCUGGUAGUGGUGUAGGUGUUGUUGGUUCUAGUGUAGGUGUUGUUGAUACUAGGCUAGGUAUUGUUGGUUCUAGUGUAGGUGUUGUUGAUACUAGGCUAGGUGUUGUUGGUACUAGUGUGGUGGUAGUUGUUGGUACUGGUAGGGAUAUGGUGGUUGUUGAUGGUACUGGCAGGGAUAUGGUGGUUGUUGAUGGUGGUACUGGUGUUGAUGUGGUAAUUGUUGUAGGAGGGGAUGUGGUUGUGGCUGGUACUGGCAGGGAUAUGGUGGUAGUUGUUGGUACUGAUGUGGUUGUUGGUGGUGCUGGUGUUGAUGUGGUAGUAGUUGUUGGUACUGGUAUGAUGGUUGUUGUUGCUGUAAUGUAGGUUGUGACCCCUGUUGCCACGGUAACCCCAUCUGGUUCUGCUGAAAUGGCAUUGGAGGAAUCAGACUGUUGAGCCUGCCUCCUUUUCUUUUGGUUUCCUUUUCCUCUGCCUUGCAGAUGGAGUAGACGGCGUCCUCGUCGUCACUCAGAGACAACACCUUCAGAUGGAGGGUGGAGAUGAACCUCUCAUGGCGAGACAAUGGAGGAGUGAAGGAGGACGGUAGCGACACAGACCUGAUGAAUGGAGCUCUUGGUCUCGCCUCUUUAAUCAUUUGUUCCUCAUCCUGGUUCUCCGAUGUUCCAUCCUGUCCUCUAGGUUCAUCCUCAGCAUUGUCUCCAGGUACAGGUGAGUUCCUCUCAGGUUUUUCUGCUACAACAUCCUCAGUGCUGCUGCUGCUGGAGCUAAACUCUGCGUCCGACUCCAUCUCUGGUCCAGAAGCUUCAUCAGAAGAGCUGGACUCACCGCCGUUCCUCCACCGAUACGUGGAGUCAGACUUCUGGUUGUAGCAGGCGGCACAGCGAGACAGACUGAGGAUCUCUGGUCCGG
ensembl:lncRNA